CGCGUAGGCGGCCCGGAAAGUCGGAUGUGAAAACCUGGGGCUCAACCCCAGGCCUGCAUCCGAUACUCCCGGGCUCGAGGCAGGUAGGGGAGAUCGGAAUUCCUGGUGUAGCGGUGAAAUGCGCAGAUAUCAGGAGGAACACCGGUGGCGAAGGCGGAUCUCUGGGCCUGUCCUGACGCUGAGGCGCGAAAGCUAGGGGAGCGAACA
rnacentral:rRNA from 1 species